GGGGAAGACCCGUGGGUCCUGGACGGACAGGGGGCUGAAAGCCAGGGCUUGGGGAAUGGCCACUCAGGUAAGUGAGGGGAGCUGGCCCUUCUUUCAUUGAAGGCUGGGCCUAGGGGUUAUAAUGGCCUGUCAGGCCUCACAAGUAGGAGUUACUGGACUGGGUAGCAGUCCAUGGCAGGAAGUAGGUGUAGUGGUGAAUCUAAACCUGGUGGGUACAGCAGGGCUCAACCAGGUAGAGACAAAAUCAGGCCAUGGAUGAAUUUUUGUCCCUGCUCAGAGAGAAAAACUUGUUAGCCAAGGCUAGUUGUAAUAGGGCUUUCAGGUUUUGAAGAUUGCCUGAUUGUUGUAGAAGUCUCUCCACCCUGACACUCAUAGUGAAGGACUGAAGCUUGCUAUUAGAGCUCAGGUGCCAGGUGAAAGAGCCCAUUCCUACAUUCUAUGUGUAAUAAGGUGGAAUAAAAAAACAACAAAACUGUAAUAAUUAAAAAGGAGAAAGAAAAGUGUCAUUUGCAGUUUCUGCGAUUUCCAAAUUAGAAAAAUUAGAUAAGAGUUCACAAGAGAAACGUAAUAGUAUUACUGGUUACAAAAUCAUUUGUGUUUCUAUUCAUCAGCAACAAACAAAAACGUACUUUUUAAGAAAUAUUUUUUAGUUGUCAAUGGACCUUUAUUUUAUGUAUUUAUAUGCAGUGCUAAGAAUCGAACCUAAUGCCUCACACAGGCUAGGCAAGCACUGUACCGCUAAGCCACAACCCCAGCCCCAAAAACAUAAUUUUUACAACAAAAAUAUUUAUAAUAGCAUCAGAAAUGUGAAGUAUCCUGGAAAUAAUGUAACAAAAGAUAUGCUAGACAUUUAAGGGGAAAAUUGUAAAAGUAAAAAUGGAGCCCAGUUUGGUGGCCCAGGCCUGUGAUCCCAGCAACUCAGGAGGCUAAGGCAGGAGGAUCGCAAGUUGGAGGCCAUUCUGAACAACUUAGCAAGACACUGUUUCUAAAUAAAAAAGGGAUGUGGAUACAUCUUAGAGCACCCCUGGGUUCUAUCUCCAGCACUGGAAUGAAUGAAUGAAUGAAAGAUACAGAUGGAGACAGGUCUAGACUUAAAACUGUGCAAGAUGGCAUCUGAGUCUUGUGAAAACCUCAGUCAGCAUGUCCUGGUAGAAUGUGCCCCUCUUGAGAUGGGAAGGUUGGCACAUAGUUGAUCGACUUCAACAUUUCAGAUGUGGCCAUUUUCCCCUUGAAAAUUUGCUCCUUGCUUUUUUAAAGCUAGUGGACAGGACCCCAGUAUUCCACACAAUCUUAUGAACCUGCAAAAUCAAACAUCCUCAGGGAGCAGUGGGUAUGACAACUUCAGAGGAAUUUAAUUUACCAGUGACUGUGAACAAGAGGACACAAUAUUAUGUCACAGAAAUCUUGCACGAAACUUGUUUUCUUGAGACAGGCUUUCCCUAUGUUGUCCGGGCGGGUCUCGAACUCUGGGCUCAAGCAAUCCUCCUGCUUUGGCUUCUAAGUAGCUAGAACUACAGGCUUGUGCCACCAUGCCCAACAGUGCACAGAACUUCACAUUGUUUGGUAACUGCUCCCACAGAAGGCAAGAAAACACAGGUUAUUUUGCAGCCACUGCCAAACCAAACUGUUGUCCGUGGAGGUGCCUGAUGGAGACCUUUGACCCUUUUUAAGCAGUCUUUGAGUUUAAUGGCUGAAAAAAACUUAAGAUUGUCCAAGAGCACAGAAGCACCUGGUUACUCUGCCUCUGGCCCAGGCCAGAGAGGAGGAUGAGACUGAGUCACUUCUAGAGAGCAAUGGGCAUAGAAGCAGAAGCUACAUGCCCCUACUGGUUUUCACUUACUGUUUUAACAGCAGUGGGAAUAUUUUUCACUUUUGAAGGAAUGUUUUGUUGUCAGCUCGUCUCCCUGUUCCUUUUACAGACAACCUCAAAUGUGAUCACACUGCAGUCUGUGUGCAGGACAGCUUAUCUUGUCCGUGGGGUAAGUGCAUGUGUGAUCUUUUUAAUACAGUACAGUUCUUGAGGUAUUAAUGUUUAUGUGUUACCAGAUGUGACAGGAUUCCCCAGGGUGCUGUGGAGUUUGUUAAUACAACUCACACAAGGAAGAGUGUCUCCUAAUCAAGCAUUAUUUGUUUCAGUAGAAUCUCUUUUUUCCCCUUUAUGUAUUUUGUCACACUGAAAACAUAGUUUCCUGCUCUACACUUAAAACCACAACUAGAGCCACCAUUCUGAAAGGGAGUAUGGUUGGCUCUGUGCUAGGUACAGGGCAGGGGCCACUAUCACCAGCCUUCACACCGUGACUCUGCCCCACAAGAAGUCACAUGAUACUUUUAAGCCAUGGCUGAUUGAGACUCCCCUCCAGUUAUUGUAUUAUGAAAGUCAUCUCAUUUACCUUGUUACUCUGGCAUCAGAGUCCACCAGAGGUGCUCUGGCAACAGAAGCCACCCAUUCAGGAAAGCAAAUAAUAGAGCAGUAAAUUUUUUUGGUAAAAUUUUUAUUAGUUAUUGACAGACCUUUUAUUCAUUUAUUUGUUUAUAUGUGGUGCUGAGAAUCGAACCCAGUGCCUCAUACAUGCUAGGCAAGCACCAGUACCACUGAGUCACAACCCCAGCCUCCCCCACCCCCAGCAGUGAUACUUUAAUGCAAAUAACUGAUUCUUUCUUUGCCCUACAGACUUGUAUUUUAUAAAGAUGGGCCUUAGGGGGUGGGGGGUUGAUAAAACUAGUCUCAUCAGUUUAAAGAACAUAUAGCAUAACUUUUUUUUUUUAGUAUAUAUUUUUUUUAGUUGUAGAUGGACACAAUAUCUUUAUUUUUAUUUGUUUAUUUUUAUGUGGUGCUGAGUAUCGAACCUAAGGCGAGGCAAGCACUCUACCAGUGAGCUACAACCCCAGCCCUAGCUUAACUUUUUUUUUUUUUAGUUGUAGUUGAACACAAUAUCUUUAUUUUAUUUAUUUUUAUGUGGUGCUAAGGCUCGAACCCAGGGCUUCACACAUGCUAGGUGAGCGCUCUACCGCUGAGCCAUGACCCCAGCCCCCCCAGCAUAACUUAUUAAAAAAUAAAAUUCAUUAAAAAUCUUAUUUAUUACCCAACAGCUUAGGAGGCUGAAGCAGGAAGAUCACAAGUUCAAAGCCAGCCUUAGCAACUUAGCAAGGCCCUGUCUCAAAAUAAAAAGGGCUGGGGAUUUUGCUGAGUGGGAUUUUGCUGGGUUCAAUUGAUGGCACCAAAAAAAAAAAAAAAUCUUAAAUAGAUGACUGUAAAUUUAGAUUUUUUUUUUAAUGAAGAUCCUAUUAAAUCCUCAGUUUUAGUUUAUAAAUGCGGUAUACACUUAAACAAAUUGCUCUGAAGGAAACUUAAAAAAAGAUAUGGAAAUACUCAAUAAGAAAAGUGGAAGCAACACUUGAACAAGUUCCUGUUUGUUUUUAGAAUAAGGAAAAAUGUUUUAUUGCUUUGCUGGCAAAGGAGAAACACAGGGACUCCUGUCCCAGAGGCUGUGAUUCUUUUUUUUUUUUUUUUUUUUUUUUGGUACGGGGAUUGAAUCCAGGGAUGCUUAACUACUGAGCCACAUUCUCAACCCUUUUAACUUUUUUUUGGUACAGGGGAUUGAACUCAGGGCACUCAACCACUAGCCCACAUCCCCAGCCCUAUUUUGUAUUUUAUUUAGAGACAGGGUCUCACUGAGUUGCUUAGUGCCUCACCUUUGUUGAAGCUGGCUGUGCCACCAAGCCCAGUUAACUUUUUUUGAGACAGGGUCUCAGUAAGUUGCUUAGGGCCUCGCUAAGUUGCUGAAGCUGGCCUUGAACUUAAGAUCCUCCUGCCUCAAGUCUCCUGGGCUGCUGGGAUUAUAGAUGUACACCACUGCCCCCACUAGUUUGGCAUUAUCUAAUGGAGUUGAAAUAUGAAUCCUUAUGUUCCCCACACCCAACCCUGAUACAUAAUAAGUACUAAGAAACAAACAAGAAUCUUUGUAGAAGCAUGCUUCAUGAUGGAAGACUGAAAAUCACCCAGAUGUCCAUCAACAGUAGAAUAGAAAAAUUUGACAUUUAAAUAUAAUGAAAUAUACCACAGUGAAAAUGAUUAAAUAACUGAAUAAAAGUGAAAACACAACAUCAAAAUUUGUGAUAUUCUGCUAAUACAGUACUUAGCUCUUUUAUGAUCUAUGUUAGAAAAGUUAAAAGUUGCUAAGUCUAAAACAGAACGAUUCAGUUAUUUUUGAGGCAGCUGUUUGUUCAGGCUGGACUUGAACUCAGAAUUCUUCAGCCUUUGCCUCCUGAGUACCUGGGAUGACAGAUGUGAUGUUUUUUGUUUUGGGACAGGCUUUUGCCAUGUCAGACUAGGCUAGUCUCAAUCACCUGGGUUUGAGUGAUCCUGCCACCUUAGCUCUUGAAUAGCUGGAACUACAAGGGCAUGCCAUUGUGCCCAGCUCAUAAUGGAACCAUUUGAAUAAUAAAAUAAAUAACAGGUUAGCCAGGCACGGUGGCACACAACCUAUAAUCCCAGCAAUUUGAGAAGCUGAGGCGGACACAACAUCUUUGUUUAUAUGUGGUGCUGAGGAUCGAACCCGGGCCGCACGCAUGCCAGGUGAGCACGCUACCGCUUGAGCCACACCCCCAGCCCCCCCAAAAAUAAUUUUUUGAUUCAUAACUUUGCACCAUAAGAAUCAACCCAGAAUGGUCAUAGAGCUAAAUAUAAAAUCUAAAAACUCUGAAAUUUUAAGAAACCAUAGAAUAAAAUUAUUUUAACUUUUGGUUAGGCAAAGAUUUAAUAAGAAGUUCAAGGCCAGACUUGGCAACUUGAUGAGACUGUUUCAAAAAAAUAAUUUUGAAACAGGUUUAAUUUUAAAAGGGUUGGGAAUAUAACUCAGUGGCAAGAGUGCCCCUGUGUUCAAUCCCUAGUAUCAAAAUAAUUAAAUGACAGAUUAUUAGCCAAAAGUAUAAAAUGUACAAGUUCAUACAGAUGAAUAAAUUUAUUGUAUAAUAAAUACACUGAGGGAAGAGGUUAUCUUACAGAAGAAUUCNUAGAGAGCAAUGGGCAUAGAAGCAGAAGCUACAUGCCCCUACUGGUUUUCACUUACUGUUUUAACAGCAGUGGGAAUAUUUUUCACUUUUGAAGGAAUGUUUUGUUGUCAGCUCGUCUCCCUGUUCCUUUUACAGACAACCUCAAAUGUGAUCACACUGCAGUCUGUGUGCAGGACAGCUUAUCUUGUCCGUGGGGUAAGUGCAUGUGUGAUCUUUUUAAUACAGUACAGUUCUUGAGGUAUUAAUGUUUAUGUGUUACCAGAUGUGACAGGAUUCCCCAGGGUGCUGUGGAGUUUGUUAAUACAACUCACACAAGGAAGAGUGUCUCCUAAUCAAGCAUUAUUUGUUUCAGUAGAAUCUCUUUUUUCCCCUUUAUGUAUUUUGUCACACUGAAAACAUAGUUUCCUGCUCUACACUUAAAACCACAACUAGAGCCACCAUUCUGAAAGGGAGUAUGGUUGGCUCUGUGCUAGGUACAGGGCAGGGGCCACUAUCACCAGCCUUCACACCGUGACUCUGCCCCACAAGAAGUCACAUGAUACUUUUAAGCCAUGGCUGAUUGAGACUCCCCUCCAGUUAUUGUAUUAUGAAAGUCAUCUCAUUUACCUUGUUACUCUGGCAUCAGAGUCCACCAGAGGUGCUCUGGCAACAGAAGCCACCCAUUCAGGAAAGCAAAUAAUAGAGCAGUAAAUUUUUUUGGUAAAAUUUUUAUUAGUUAUUGACAGACCUUUUAUUCAUUUAUUUGUUUAUAUGUGGUGCUGAGAAUCGAACCCAGUGCCUCAUACAUGCUAGGCAAGCACCAGUACCACUGAGUCACAACCCCAGCCUCCCCCACCCCCAGCAGUGAUACUUUAAUGCAAAUAACUGAUUCUUUCUUUGCCCUACAGACUUGUAUUUUAUAAAGAUGGGCCUUAGGGGGUGGGGGGUUGAUAAAACUAGUCUCAUCAGUUUAAAGAACAUAUAGCAUAACUUUUUUUUUUUAGUAUAUAUUUUUUUUAGUUGUAGAUGGACACAAUAUCUUUAUUUUUAUUUGUUUAUUUUUAUGUGGUGCUGAGUAUCGAACCUAAGGCGAGGCAAGCACUCUACCAGUGAGCUACAACCCCAGCCCUAGCUUAACUUUUUUUUUUUUUAGUUGUAGUUGAACACAAUAUCUUUAUUUUAUUUAUUUUUAUGUGGUGCUAAGGCUCGAACCCAGGGCUUCACACAUGCUAGGUGAGCGCUCUACCGCUGAGCCAUGACCCCAGCCCCCCCAGCAUAACUUAUUAAAAAAUAAAAUUCAUUAAAAAUCUUAUUUAUUACCCAACAGCUUAGGAGGCUGAAGCAGGAAGAUCACAAGUUCAAAGCCAGCCUUAGCAACUUAGCAAGGCCCUGUCUCAAAAUAAAAAGGGCUGGGGAUUUUGCUGAGUGGGAUUUUGCUGGGUUCAAUUGAUGGCACCAAAAAAAAAAAAAAAUCUUAAAUAGAUGACUGUAAAUUUAGAUUUUUUUUUUAAUGAAGAUCCUAUUAAAUCCUCAGUUUUAGUUUAUAAAUGCGGUAUACACUUAAACAAAUUGCUCUGAAGGAAACUUAAAAAAGAUAUGGAAAUACUCAAUAAGAAAAGUGGAAGCAACACUUGAACAAGUUCCUGUUUGUUUUUAGAAUAAGGAAAAAUGUUUUAUUGCUUUGCUGGCAAAGGAGAAACACAGGGACUCCUGUCCCAGAGGCUGUGAUUCUUUUUUUUUUUUGGUACGGGGAUUGAAUCCAGGGAUGCUUAACUACUGAGCCACAUUCUCAACCCUUUUAACUUUUUUUUGGUACAGGGGAUUGAACUCAGGGCACUCAACCACUAGCCCACAUCCCCAGCCCUAUUUUGUAUUUUAUUUAGAGACAGGGUCUCACUGAGUUGCUUAGUGCCUCACCUUUGUUGAAGCUGGCUGUGCCACCAAGCCCAGUUAACUUUUUUUGAGACAGGGUCUCAGUAAGUUGCUUAGGGCCUCGCUAAGUUGCUGAAGCUGGCCUUGAACUUAAGAUCCUCCUGCCUCAAGUCUCCUGGGCUGCUGGGAUUAUAGAUGUACACCACUGCCCCCACUAGUUUGGCAUUAUCUAAUGGAGUUGAAAUAUGAAUCCUUAUGUUCCCCACACCCAACCCUGAUACAUAAUAAGUACUAAGAAACAAACAAGAAUCUUUGUAGAAGCAUGCUUCAUGAUGGAAGACUGAAAAUCACCCAGAUGUCCAUCAACAGUAGAAUAGAAAAAUUUGACAUUUAAAUAUAAUGAAAUAUACCACAGUGAAAAUGAUUAAAUAACUGAAUAAAAGUGAAAACACAACAUCAAAAUUUGUGAUAUUCUGCUAAUACAGUACUUAGCUCUUUUAUGAUCUAUGUUAGAAAAGUUAAAAGUUGCUAAGUCUAAAACAGAACGAUUCAGUUAUUUUUGAGGCAGCUGUUUGUUCAGGCUGGACUUGAACUCAGAAUUCUUCAGCCUUUGCCUCCUGAGUACCUGGGAUGACAGAUGUGAUGUUUUUUGUUUUGGGACAGGCUUUUGCCAUGUCAGACUAGGCUAGUCUCAAUCACCUGGGUUUGAGUGAUCCUGCCACCUUAGCUCUUGAAUAGCUGGAACUACAAGGGCAUGCCAUUGUGCCCAGCUCAUAAUGGAACCAUUUGAAUAAUAAAAUAAAUAACAGGUUAGCCAGGCACGGUGGCACACAACCUAUAAUCCCAGCAAUUUGAGAAGCUGAGGCGGACACAACAUCUUUGUUUAUAUGUGGUGCUGAGGAUCGAACCCGGGCCGCACGCAUGCCAGGUGAGCACGCUACCGCUUGAGCCACACCCCCAGCCCCCCCAAAAAUAAUUUUUUGAUUCAUAACUUUGCACCAUAAGAAUCAACCCAGAAUGGUCAUAGAGCUAAAUAUAAAAUCUAAAAACUCUGAAAUUUUAAGAAACCAUAGAAUAAAAUUAUUUUAACUUUUGGUUAGGCAAAGAUUUAAUAAGAAGUUCAAGGCCAGACUUGGCAACUUGAUGAGACUGUUUCAAAAAAAUAAUUUUGAAACAGGUUUAAUUUUAAAAGGGUUGGGAAUAUAACUCAGUGGCAAGAGUGCCCCUGUGUUCAAUCCCUAGUAUCAAAAUAAUUAAAUGACAGAUUAUUAGCCAAAAGUAUAAAAUGUACAAGUUCAUACAGAUGAAUAAAUUUAUUGUAUAAUAAAUACACUGAGGGAAGAGGUUAUCUUACAGAAGAAUUCCAAGAAAGAUAUAAUAUAGAUGGGUAGGUAGCCCCUCACCAGAAAGCAAAGCUUAAAUCCACCCUUCCAAAGGUAGACCAGACUCCGUAACUCCUAUCCAAAGAACAGCAUAUGAAAGACAGAAAAUGAGGGGCAUUUUAGAAAAUACAGAGCUGAUAAGGGAAGACUGAAAGACCAUCACAGAGAAGAGGAUAACUAAAGAGUCCAUUAUAGCUGAAAUCCAAAUAAAGUCUGGGGUUUGGUUAAUAGUACUAGACUAAUGUUGCUCUCUUGGUUGUGACAAAAGUACCUGAGUAAUGUAAGAUGUUAAGAGUAGGGGGAGACUGAGUAAGGCACAUAGGCAACUCUCUACUGUCUUUGCAACUUUCUGUCAGUUCAGAUUGAUCCUGAACUAAAAACCUUAUUUUUUAAAAAAUGUUAAUUCACAAUACUAAUAGAAUUAAUAAGAACUACAUCUCAACUAUGGAAGAAAAAGCAUUUCACAAAAUCCCACACCCAUUCUUGCCCAUCAGGCUCACAGGUGGAAGACUGAACAUGUGUGUCCGGCGGUAUCCUAGAAGGUCUGCCAACACAGGGUGGGUGGUGGGGGGCAGCCAAUCUGUAGAGGAUGGAGCAAAGUGGCCCGUAUUGGCAGAGCUCAUGGCAGUCUACAUGGAAGGUCCUAUGAAACGACACAGCAGUCACUAGAGUAAGGGAGCCUUACUCUAGUAAGUAAGACACAUAGAAAUCAAUUACUUUCCCCCAUUCCCACAGUGAACAACUACCUUGAAAUUAAAACAAUAGCAUCAUUCAUAACACUUUCAAGAAACACAAAAUACCUAGGAAUAAGUCUAACAGAGGUGUUGGGAGACCUGCAUAGUGAGACUCCCAAAAUAUUGCUGAGAUAAAGUAAAUUUAAAAUGUAUCACGUUCAUAGAUCAAAAGACUUUUUAAGCAGGGCGGGUGCAGUGGCACACGCCUGUAAUCCAGCAGCUUAUGAGGCUGAGACAGGAGGAUCAGGAGUUCUAAGCCAGCUUCAGCAAGGCACUAAGCAACUCAAUGAGACCUUAUCUCUAAAUAACAUACAAAAUAGGGCUGGGGAUGGGGUGGGGCUCAGUGGCUGAAUGCCCCUGAGUUCAAUCUCUGAUACCAAAAAAAAGACUUUGUUAAGAUAUCAUCUCCAAUUUGAGGUCUAGAUCCAGUGCAACAUAAAUCAAAAUUACAGAAGGCUUUGGGGUACAGAUUGUCAAACUGAUUCUAAAAUUCACACGGAAAUGUAACAUAUAUUGAACAGUCAACAGCUUUGUAAAAACUUGUGGGAUGUAUAGUACCUAACUCCAGGAUUUAUUAUAAAGCUAUGCCAAUGAAGACAGUAUAGUAUUGACCACAAAACAGAACAUUAUAAGCAGUGGGUCAGAACAGAGAAUGCUGAAAUAGAUUAGCAAAACAAGAAAAUUAAUUUUUUACACAGGAGCAAAAGGCAGUUUAGUGGAGAAAGGGUAUUCUUUUCAGCAAAUCCUACUAGAUAUAUACAUGCUGGGUUUUUUUUCUUUCUUUCUUUUUUUUUUUUUUUCCUGUGGUGCUGGGGAGUGAACUCAGGGCCUUGUGCAUGCAAGGCAAGCACUCUACCAACUGAGCUACGUCCCCAGCCGAAAAAAUUAAUUUUUUUUUUUUUAGAGAGAGAGAGAGAAUUUUUAAUAUUUAUUUUUUAGUUUUCGGCGGACACAACAUCUUUGUUUGUAUGUGGUGCUGAGGAUCGAACCCGGGCCGCACGCAUGCCAGGCGAGCGCGCUACCACUUGAGCCACAUCCCCAGCCCAUAGAAGAAGAGAAUUUUUUUAAUAUUUAUUUUUCAGUUUUUGGUGGACACAACAUCUUUAUUUUAUUUUUAUGUGAUGCUGAGGAUCAAACCUAGUGCCGCGCACAUGCCAGGCAAGCGCGUUACCGCUUGAGCCACAUCCCCAGCUCAGGGCAUAUAUCUUCUAUCUGAAUAACUUUUUUAUGGUAUUGAGGAUUGAACCCAAGGAUACUUAGCCACUGAAGAACAUCCACAGCCCUUUUUAUUUUUUUAAUUUUGAGACAGGGUCUCAUUAAGUUGCUGAGGCUGGCUUUGAACUUGUAGUCCUGCUGCCUGGGGCUCCCAAGCCAUUAGGAUUACAGGCCUGUGCCACUGCUCCCAGCCCAAACCCUUUUAUUUUUUAUUUUUCAACAGGGUCCCGCCAAGUUGCCCAGGCUGGCCUUGAACUCGCAGUCUUCCUACCUCAGCCACUGCAGUAGCUGUGAUUGCAGAUGUGUGCCACCACACUUAGCUCUUUCUUAGUUUUUAAUUCCUCUGCUAAAAUUCUCCAUCUGGUCAUGCUUGUUCAUCCAAUAUAUGGUUAUCUCUUAGUCAGUUUUUUUAGAUUGAUUUAAAUUUUUGUUGUUUUUUGAGUUCUUUUUCUUUCUGAGUGUCUCAUAAAUUUUUACUGAAUGCCAACAUAAGUGUUAAAAUGUGACCUUUCCUGCUGGGCAGCCAGUGUGUAAGCUGGAUCAGUCCAGUCGGUACAAGGGCUAGGUUUGACUCAUAUAUAUAUAUAUAAUCUAUAUCUCACACUUUAUUUUAUGUGGUGCUGAGGAUUGAACCCAGUGCCUCAUGCAUGCUAGGCAAACGCUCUACCUCCAAGCCACAACCCCAGCCCCGCUAGGUUUGAAUUUUGUUGUCAUGAUUACUUUGUGUGCACCACCAGAGUCAAACUCCUCUAGCAUUUCCUGGUACACAGGGUAGGGGCUGUCAGUCUUCCACACAGACCAGUACCUCAGAGAGGGUCCCUCCUGCUCUUGCCCUACCCUAGACAUAGACUCUAUUGCCUGUGACCCAGGGCUUGCUCACCUCAGGAGGUGGGGAACAAGGGAACUGUGCUCACCUGGCCCAUCUUUAGUCUGCAGGUGCUCGGUUUUGGGGUCUUGGGCAAUACCUCAAUGAUCCUGCCCUUUGUCUGGCUGUGGGAGACCUGAUUAUCUACCCAUGAUCGUCUCCUGCCCUCCAUUUUUCUUUUCUCUUCUCCCAGCCACAGUGACUAUUACCAGUACUUCAGGUGUGAUAGGUUUUCUUUGCUCCCAGUGACUUCUGGCUUGCUCCAUAUAGAGGACCAGGUAGGUAUUUUUCCCUUCCUUCCUCCAGUCCUGAACCUCCCAGGAGACUUUCUCAUGAGUGCCUGGGGAGCCAGUAGAGAAGACCCCAGGGGACCACGGAGAAAAGCCCUGUACCGUGGCUCCCUGAGGUUCUCCAGCAGCUGGCUAAGGCAUUCUCCUUGCCCACUGUAUGAUGGCCCCAUCUGCCUUCUUCUCCAUAGGGCAGGGCAGUGCACAUGUACCAAAGUCUUCUUUCCAUUGGACACCUGUCUCAGGUCCUCAGCUAGUCAGCCAUCAUGUGCCCUCGGCUCUCAAGGGUUCAGGAAAAGAAGGGGUUUUGUAGAUGAUCUGGCUUUUACCAGUUGUUGGGCUGGAAGAGAUGCUCUUUCCAGCAUUCUCCCUCCAGGAAUAGCAAGAUAGCAUGUGAUGAGUGAUGAUGGCAAAGCAGCGUGUUUCACAUAGUGUAUAGUAAAGAUGAUCAGAGGGACUCAGGAACAUACAGCCACAUGACUCCACACUGAGUUGGGUUCUGUUUCUGUUGGUUUGGUGAGUACCCAGGUGACGGGGUGGGUAGUAAGAGGGGUCAGCUGGAGUUUCAACAGGAAACUACAAGGAUUAGUCUGGAUGCUGGUGUGGGAAGAGUGACAUGAGUUCCAAAUGUCUGGCAGCUGUAGGAGGGCUUGUUCUUGGAGCAACAAACCAAAUUCUGUCCAAAAGGAGAGGUCUGACUGAGCUCCUGGCUGAGCCCUGGUGGAUACUGGAGGGCCUUCAUGUUGAUGGGGCAGUUAUGCUCCAGGCAAGUAUGGCAGAGCAGGUUGGUUGGACCUGGAGUGACACCCCCAGCUCAGGCCACCACCAUUGGAAACCCCUCAUCCAUGGAGGCGGUCCUUGAGGAUUUGGUGCACUCUGCUCUGCCACCAUGCUUGUAGAAGAAACACUAGUAUUUUGUAUGUCUCAAUCUCCAAGGUAACCAUUUCUUGGAUGACUAAAAACAUUACCAAUCAAACCAAGCACAUUCUAUUUAUGGCCACCUUUGCCCAAAUCUUUUUCCAAACACUUCCAUCAUAAAACACUUCGUGGAUGUUCCUGCCAGUCACCGAAGAUCCUUGGCAUUGUGCACAUUUCUCUUAGGUUCUUACUUUCCAAAUCUCUUUGUUGAGAUUUCAAGAGGCCCAUUAUUCAAUGUGUCUUCCCAAAGCAUGUUUAGAGCCAAUUAAAGAGUAAAGCUUCUGUGGGCAGGGGUUGUGGCUCAGCGGUAGGACGCUCACCUAGCACGUGCAAGGCCCUGGGUUCGAUCCUCAGCACCACAUAAAAAUAAAUAAAAUAAAGGUAUUGUAUCCAACAACUAAAAAAUAAAUAUAUAAAAAAAUAAAGAGUAAAGCUUUAGCCAAGCGCAGUGUCAUAUACCUAUGAUCCCAGUGACUCGGGAGGCUGAAGCAGGAGGUUGGCAAGUUCAAGGGCAGCCUGGGCAAAUUAGCAAGACCCUAUCUCAUAAAGUAAAAAGGGCUGGGGAUGUAGCUCAGUGGUGAAACACCCUGGGAACAUGUCACUUAUUGCUAGUCUGAUACACUUCCCCAUAUGGGACUCCAGAUGAAAGCUAUUGGGGCCUGUGGCUUCAGGUCUCUGGACGUGGGGGACAGCUGUUCCCAAGGAGUGGCUGAGCUGAGAAUGCCCAUUCUUACCCAGAGUAACCUCUGGAGAGGAUUGGAAAAGAAGUGUGUGCCCACAUGCUCCGGUGCUAUCCUUGCCUGUGAUCUCAGCAUCUGUGGGUCAGCUACAAAUUUAGUACCAGAUCCUGGUGUGUCUUCCAGCAGAUUGAGAAUUGCCUUCUCGGGUCUUCCUCCACUGUGGAGCUGCUUAUACUACAAUAUCCCUUAGGGCAGUCCCCAACAGAGGAUUGAGGGGACAGGGAGAAGCACUGAAGGUGGGCUAGAAUCCCAAGCCCUCCAGGAGGUCUCACUGUGCCCUGGAGCCUCAGAUGCUGGAGGCCUGGUCAUCAUUCUGCAUUGUAGUGGAGCCUGUGGCCCUUUGGCCCAAGGAAGCCUGAAGGACUCAGCAUGCCACUGCCUUGGGGAGCCAUCGUCUUGCUCCCCCACUCUCUUGUGGGGCUGGGCCACUCAUCACUCCUCAAUGCAGGGACCUCUACACAGUCUGGGCUUCUAGCAAGUAGCCACCACCACAUGAAGUCAUAAUGUGAGUGGCCCAAGUUACUGGAACAUGGUUGUCUCAGCACCCCCUACCCCCUCACACACAGUGGCCCACAGCACCUGUGGAUACCCAGAGCAUCUCCACUCCAACCUCUCCUGCCUCCACUCUGCCAUCCCUGCAGGCCUUGUCCACAGCUAAAUUGGGCUGCAGAUUCCCACCACCUCCCUUUGUCUCUAGUCUCACCUGCCUGAGUAUUCUCCACACUGUUACCUUCUACAACGAGUUCCCAGCACCAACCCCCCCCACACAAAUCCACUGGCCCCAGGAUUGCAUUCCCCAGCCUGCUCACAGGCAUGCAAGCCUCCCCACCCUCCCCAGGCCAGGCUUCACUGCUCACUGGCUGCUCUCUGUGCGCACAGGGCUCCUACAGGCUGGGAGAGUCCUGCAAUCAGCUCCAUGUGGCCUCCUGAGGCUCCGUUCACCUGAGGAGGGCUCCAGGGAGGGCAGGGCCUGGGGAAGCACUAGGCCACGCCCCACUAUAGUGUUCUUGGGCACUCUGCAGGGGUACCUCCUUACUGGCACUCCACUGUCAGUCAUUACAAGGUCUUGUGGAAAUUUAAUCUUCAGAUUUCUCCAGCAGGGAGUGACCUUCACCAGAAAGCCAGCUUCAGGGUUGUACUGUGCAGUUUUGAGAAGUGUUGACAUUGUCAUUUUGGAUUUGUUGUUUCAGAAUGCAAAACCAAGGAAGAGAACCAAAAUACAGAUUGGCCCUUAAAGCCGAUAAUUUCAGAUGAGGUAACAGUGCAUCUGGGGAAAGCAUCUUCAGGGAGCAUCGUUCAAGAACAUUAUAACCCAGAGCAGAGCUUCUGCCUGCAUGCAAGCCCUGUCGUCCCUGGCGAGGCUCGGGUCUCGAAUAGGAGCAGGCCACUGACUCCACACCCAGAAGCUCCCAGUGGAGAGAGGCCCUACAUGUGCAUCGAGUGUGGGAAGUGCUUUGGGCGGAGCUCCCAUCUUCUUCAACACCAGCGAAUCCACACGGGUGAGAAGCCAUAUGUGUGCAGUGUGUGCGGGAAGGCCUUCAGCCAAAGCUCAGUCCUCAGUAAACACAGGAGAAUCCACACUGGCGAAAAACCCUAUGAGUGUAACGAGUGUGGAAAAGCCUUCCGAGUGAGCUCGGACCUUGCUCAGCACCACAAGAUUCACACAGGAGAGAAACCUCACGAGUGUGCCGAGUGUCGGAAGGCCUUCACCCAGCUCUCGCACCUCAUCCAGCACCAGCGGAUCCACACAGGGGAGAGGCCCUAUGUGUGCCCACUAUGUGGGAAGGCCUUCAACCACAGCACUGUGCUGCGGAGCCACCAGAGGGUACACACUGGGGAGAAGCCUCACCAGUGCAGCGAGUGCGGGAAGACCUUUAGCGUAAAGAGGACGCUGCUGCAGCACCAGCGGGUGCACACAGGGGAGAAGCCCUACACGUGCAGUGAGUGUGGGAAGGCCUUCAGCGACCGCUCAGUCCUCAUCCAGCACCACAAUGUGCACACAGGAGAGAAGCCCUACGAGUGUGGCGAGUGUGGCAAGGCCUUCAGCCACCGCUCCACCCUCAUGAACCAUGAGCGGAUCCACUCAGAGGAAAAGCCCUAUGCUUGCUACGAGUGUGGCAAGGCCUUCGUGCAGCACUCCCACCUGAUCCAGCACCAGAGGGUCCACACCGGGGAGAAGCCCUAUGUGUGUGGAGAGUGUGGGCAUGCCUUUAGCGCACGUCGCUCUCUGAUCCAGCAUGAGAGGAUCCACACGGGAGAGAAGCCCUUCCAGUGCACAGAGUGCAGCAAGGCCUUCAGCCUUAAGGCCACCCUGAUCGUGCACCUGCGGACCCACACUGGCGAGAAGCCCUAUGAGUGCAGCAGCUGCGGCAAGGCCUUCAGCCAGUACUCGGUGCUCAUCCAGCACCAGCGGAUCCAUACAGGGGAGAAGCCCUAUGAGUGUGGGGAGUGCGGACGUGCCUUCAACCAACACGGCCACCUGAUCCAGCACCAGAAGGUGCACGGGAAGCUGUGAGCCUGGGGCCUGGUGGCUGCAGGAGGCAGCCUCACUACCCUCCCUCGGGUUUCAGUGCCACAAAAUAAUUGCAGGGAGAAGCACUGGGCAUGUUCUUCCUGUGGAAAAGCUGCAGAGCAUAUGUUUUGUUUUCCUCAACAUCCUGAAGCUGUAUUGAAGAGUGACCUGCCAUCAUAAUGAAGUUUGGGUAACAAUAGCCAUAAUUCCUUGUUUCUUCAACAUUAGAUAAUUCAUUUGACAGGAGUAACUAAAGGAAGUUAAAGUAAAAGGACUUGUCCCAAAAUACUCCCUUAUGUUCCCAGUGAGGUUCUUUCUCUUCUGAGAAUGCAUGCCUUUCCUAAACAGUUAGCCAGUUAGCUGUGAAACUUAGAACACUGGACUGUUUUCGUAUUCUCUUGAAACACAGAAGUGCUGUGUGGAUAAAUUGAUAUACGACAUCAAGGAUCACAUGACAUCGCUGAAAAUUGUAACUGUGCAAAUACCUGUUUGUAUGAAAAGAAAAAGAAGUCUAAAGAUGUGUUCAUUAGAAAUUAUGUAAAUUAAAAAAAAAAAAAACUCUUUUAUCUGGUGCUUUAACUUAUCCAAGACCAGAAGGAAUGUCCUGCCACUUGAGUAAAAAUGCAACUAAAACAUGGUUGUUUUCCUUAAGACCUAUAGACUCUGCAUGCCAGAGAUUCUGGAUCUCUGGGGCCAGUUAGGUCCCAAGCAAGAAAAUAUUGCUAAAAAGAUGAUUCCUUGUUGCGCGUUGUUUUGUUUUGUUGGUACCAGGAUUGAACCCAGGGGCACUGGACCCCUGAGCUGCAUCCCCAUCCCAUUUUAUUUUUUAUUGUGAGAUAGUCUUGCUGAGCUGCUUGGGGCCUCAGCCUCCUGUGGUACACCACCACACCCAGCAGUGCAUUUUUUUUUUUUUUAAUUCUCACUCUUUUUUACUAGCUCUAAUAGUCCAUUCUUGUACUCCAGUUGUUUGGGGUUUGUUGUUGUUGUUGUUUAACUCCUGGCUUAAGACAGUCUACUAUUCAUUGCCUGUGAUAAAUUUGGUUUAUUCAUAAUUAAAAAUUUGAAUUUGUUCAGAAUUAUUUGCUCAGUUUUUAAGGGUAUGGUUCUUACAUCUGAGUUUAUAUCAGAGCCAUUUCUAGUAGUAUCUACCUGCAAAUAAAACAAAGGUCAAACGUAAAUGUGUCAGUGCCUGGUGGAGGUGUUUCCUUCUUCCUCUGGGGAGAAGAGAGAAGCACUGGGGUGCUGGUCCUCAGCGUUACACGUGACAAGAGCUCGGUAAGAAUGGCCCGUCCCUGAGGCCUUGGCUUGAGCAGGGAGCUGCGGUACAGCUGAGCCGCUGCUUGAGGAGGAGCUGAUCACAGAAGGGUGGCAGAGAAGAGCAACACUAAGUGUCUCAGUGAGGAGAGCCAAGGUCUGCGCCUUACUGCAGAAAGGAAAGGAGGCCACUGUGGUGUCACUUCAGUGAGGCUGAAAAUCCAGAGUUGGGAGCACUGAGAUGAAUUCUCCAGAGGGCUCAGGUCACUGAAGGGAGCCAACAGAGUGGAGGCCACUGGGCACUGCUUCCUAGAGGAGGUGAGAUCACUGAUGUUUUUCGGAAGAGAUGACAGAGAAGCUGGAAUCGAUGAGUUGUUACUUCAGAGAAGAACUGAACUCACUGAAGUGUGACCUGGGGCCAAGAUGAAGUCUUCAGAGGCUGAGGUGAACGCGGUCAAACUUCACAAAGCUGCCCUCACAAAGGGACACUUCAGAGUCUCCUCUGAAAAGGAGCUGAGGCUACUAAGGGUGUAAGACCUUAGUGGAGGGAGGAGGGAGGCUGCCAGCCCUCACAAGGGGACUCUGCAGCUGGGGUCUCUGUGGCUGCAGGUUGGAGCCCACCACUACUCAAGCCACAAUUGCUGAUCAUGCAGAAAAGCAGAGCACAGUCAUGUGCCAAUCAGGAUGAGAAUAGGAGCUCGAUUGAAUUCAGUACAAAGAUUUGUGUAGAAAGACUAUAUGAAAAAAAGAAGAAAAGAAAGAGAAACAAAGGCUGUAUCCCAGGACAACUGAAGUCACAGGGUACAGAGUGCUGGAUAGCUCAGUUCUCCAGUAGCCUAGGUUUCCAGGGAGACCUUUCUAAAACCUAGUUUGCUUUCCUGCAUUCUCAGAUGAAGCAUGCUCAGCAUCCAUCUCCUAUUCUUGUUGGCAGGCCACCUUUGAUGCACCCAGGUGCAGGUUCAGGUGUCCGUGGAGCUGGGAAGUGGACAUCAGUGCCCCUCGUGGAGGGGAUUCCAGCUCUGUGUUCUUGCCAUUCACCUCAUGGCCACCUGGAACACAUGGGCAGCUGCCUUUGGGGAACAUGAGGUCAGAGGCCACAAUGAGCUUGGGCUCCCUUCAAGUAGUGGUGACCUACCUCUUGGGCUUUACCUGCCCAACUACUUGUCAUUUUUCAGUACCAUUCCACUUUUAUUUUGAAUUUGUAUGUGUGUAUGCUCAGAAAUCUUUACAGUUUAUGCAUUUAAAUCUUUAUAUUAAUGCAUUUAAAUCUUUAUUAAUUCUCCUUAUUGGCUACCAAGAAUUUGCUAUUUAAUACUUUUCAAAUUUUCUAUCAUUAAAAAAUAUCAUGGGGGCUGGGGUUAUGGCUUGGCGGUAGAGCGCUCACCUUGCAUGUGCAAGGCCCUGGGUUUGAUCCUCAGCACCACAUAAACAUAAAUAAAUAAAAGUUAUUAAAAAAAAUCACGGUCCUCCUGAAAUUUAAUUCUGUGUACUGUAUACAAUCUGACAUAUUCCAGUUUAAAAAAAAAACAAUGAUUAUAACAAGUAUUUGGGUGAAGAAAGCUCAAUAAUGUUGACACAAAGAUCGGCGCUUCAGUGACCACAGGACACAAGCAGGCAGCUCCAAACCAGGAAAAACUGGGAAGUCUGGAAGAGGUCCACUAUGCCAAGGAAGUGGAACAUGUCGUGGCCUCCCACUCAGGGAGGCUCAUCCAGUCCCCCGAGAUGCAGAGGUGGAAAAGGUGCCUCCAUGCUUUUGCUGAUGACAUUACCAUUAAAAUGAAACUCUAGGACUGGAGCUAUAGUUCUGUGGCAUAGCACUUGCCUAGCAUGUGUGAGGCACUGGUUCGAUCCUCAGAACCACAUAACAAAUAAAUUAAUAAAGAUAUUGUGAGUCCAUCUACAACUAAAAAAAAUUUGAAAAAAUGAAACACCUCCCAAGAAACAUGCAGACUUCAUUAAAUAAGUCUUGGGCUGGGGCUGCAGCUCAGUGGCAGAGUGCUUACCUAGCAUGUGGGAGGCACUGGGUUGGAUCCUUAGCACCACAUAAAAAUAAAGGCAUGCUGUCCAUAUACGACCACAUUUUUUUCUUUUUUUUAACAGAAGUCUGGCAGUUACACAUACUGUUUUUUUCUGGAGUAUCUCUGGGCCACAGCCAUACCCAGCUUCUGUCAGUUGUGAGGAAACAAUGGUGUAACUCAUCCUUUCUUUGAAGAACGAUGACAACACACCAGGACUCGGCUUGGCAGGUGCUGGUCAACCCUAAGGAAGAGGGGCACUCGGUAGAAAGGCUGCACAGAAGGACCA
rnacentral:lncRNA from 1 species